GCUGGGCGUGGUGGCGCAUGCCUGUAGUCCCCGUUACUGGGAGGCUGAGGUGGGAGGAUCACUUGAACCCGGGAGGUCGAGAAUGCAGUGAGCCAAGAUUGCACCACUGCAUUCCAGCCUGGGCAGCAGAGUGAGACCCUGUCUCUA
ensembl:misc_RNA Metazoa_SRP Metazoan signal recognition particle RNA